GCUUUUGCGCAGUGGCAGUAUCGUAGCCAAUGAGGUUUAUCCGAGGCGCGAUUAUUGCUAAUUAAAAAGCCACUGAUGUCUUCCUUGCCCAGAGAUUUAUUAUUAUGCUGCUUGGUUUCCAAGUAUUUCUGGAAUUUUCUGGGUAACUUUCUUUGGU
ensembl:snRNA U4 U4 spliceosomal RNA